AUGCAACACCUUCUCUGAAUGAAGGCCUGGGCUAGGGAAAGGUUACUCUAGCACUAUCACCUCCCCACCACCUGGUCUUCAGCCUGUUCUCAAGCAUCUUCCCAAGUAGGAGGGGAGAUCAGAUAAAAAGAAUAUGAUAGCCAAUUUUAUUGAGACCAUGAGGCCGUUUCUGAUCCAAUACAAUUAAAUCUAAUGUUUUUGGAUUUAUCCACAGAUGACAGAGUAUUGUGACAAGGCUUAUGACCAUGUUAGAAAUUUUCAAAUUUUCGUUUUCUUUUCAUAGUGUUUAUCAUCAUAGUAACUAAGCAUUUCCAUAAACUA